rnacentral:lncRNA from 1 species
CAACAUACCGUGAAACAUUCUGUUGGAAAAUGUGACAGAAAAGCCACUGAGAAAAUGCAGAAUUCAGUAGGUAAAAUGUACCAAAGCAGUUCGAGAGGCAGACUUACUACCAUUCAAUCUGGGGUCUGUUGGGCUCUGGCACAGAAGAACAAGAAAGGCAAUGGUAGAAAGAAAACCUGGGUUCUCAUCCAGCCUUCAUCUCUAAAAAGCUCUGAGAUCUUGGACGGUUCACUUAAUUUGUCUGUUUUCAAUGACCUCAUCUAUUAAAUGGACUUACUAUCAUUACAAGAAAUGGAGUUUCUGCUGAGGAUUAAGUACACGAUGUGGGUUCUUAAGAAGUCAGCUUUGGUGCUGUAAUGAACAAUCACAGACAUCAAUACACCUGAAGAAGGUAAUCCUGACCUCCGCUUUACCCU